UACGAAGGGGGCUAGCGUUGUUCGGAAUCACUGGGCGUAAAGCGCAUGCAGGCGGAUCGUUAAGUCGGGGGUGAAAUCCCGAGGCUCAACCUCGGAACUGCCUUCGAUACUGGCGAUCUUGAGUCCGGGAGAGGUGAGUGGAACUGCGGGUGUAGAGGUGAAAUUCGUAGAUAUUCGCAAGAACACCAGUGGCGAAGGCGGCUCACUGGCCCGGUACUGACGCUCAGGUGCGAAAGCGUGGGGAGCAAACAGG
rnacentral:rRNA from 1 species